rnacentral:rRNA from 1 species
CAGCAGCCGCGGUAAUACGUAGGGGGCGAGCGUUACCCGGAUUCACUGGGCGUAAAGGGGGUGUAGGCGGCUCGGUAAGUCGGGUGUGAAAUCCCACGGCUCAACCGUGGAAUUGCGCCCGAAACUGCCGAGCUUGGGGCCGGUAGAGGGAGACGGAACUGCCGGUGUAGGGGUGAAAUCCGUAGAUAUCGGCAGGAACGCCGGUGGGGAAGCCGGUCUCCUGGGCCGCGCCCGACGCUGAGGCCCGAAAGCUAGGGGAGCAAACCGGAUUAGAUACCCGGGUAGUCCUAGCCGUAAACGAUGCCCACUAGGUGUGGGGGAGUAGUUCCUCCGUGCUGGAGCUAACGCGUUAAGUGGGCCGCCUGGGGAGUACGCCCGCAAGGGUGAAACUUAAAGGAAUUGGCGGG